rnacentral:rRNA from 1 species
UACGUAGGGUGCAAGCGUUGUUCGGAAUUAUUGGGCGUAAAGAGCUCGUAGGCGGUUUGUUGCGUCGGCUGUGAAAUCCCGAGGCUCAACCUCGGGUCUGCAGUCGAUACGAGCAAACUAGAGUGUUGCAGGGGAGACUGGAAUUCCUGGUGUAGCGGUGAAAUGCGCAGAUAUCAGGAGGGAACACCGGUGGGCGAAGGCGGGUCUCUGGGCCGAAAUUGACGCUGGAGGAGCGAAAGCCGUGGGGAGCAAACAGG